GUCCCGUCGAGGUUUUUUCCGGCGCCGCCUCUGACGGGCCGUGCGACGUCCCGACUCGACCCAGUGGGGGCCUCCCCUCUGUCCCCGGAUGACCCCCGCCAAGGAUGGAGUAGCUCACGAAUGGGCCCUCAGAGGUGCAUCUGGCUGUAUCCCUCGGUCCCACCGCCUCUGUGAAGACAGCUUUUGUGACAUGAGAACAUUCAGGAAGUCUAUGGAGUGAUUCAUAGGAAUACAGGUCAACAGCCCACAGACAGCAAGUAACUGAGACCCGCCGAAGACUAUCUGCCUCAACUUGGAAGUGAAUCCUCCAGCCCUAUGCUACCUUUCAUUCAGACAAUGGCAUUCCCCCAACCCAACAGCUUGACUGCAACCUCAUGAGGGAGCCAGCAACACCCACCCACCCAUUACCUGAUUUUUGUCCAUCAGAAACUGGGAAAUAAUAAAUACUGGUUAUUUUAAGUUUCUAAAUUAGGGGUAACUUGUUAUAUAGCCACUAUUGCCCAUUUGAAAAAUAAUGUGAGCAAGAUGACUGGAUCUAGAUUCCUCUUCUUAACACCAUAAGGGGUUCUUUUAAUUUAGGAUUUAAUAAAGAUAUGGAAAA